rnacentral:lncRNA from 1 species
CAAGAAAAGGUAUGGUAUUUUUAUUGAAUACUCAACAAUGAGAUUACAAUCAAUAUAUAGACUAACUAGAUAUCCGAUAACUAUGGAAAGAGAUAAAUAUAGAAACUAAAUCAUAAUCAAACUAUAAUACUAGAAUAACUGAUUAUUCUAGAAAACUCUCGGUUCAAUAUUCCCCCGCAAGUUCAGGGCGGUCAGCAAUCUGUAACUUGGUUCGUAAGAAAUCGAAUUUUUGCGCGGGCAACGGUUUUGUAAAAAUAUCAGCAAUUUGUUCCUUCGUUGAUAUAAACUUCACGGUGAGAUUGCCCUGUGAGACCUGUUCACGAACAAAGUUGUAAUCGACUUCCACGUGUUUGGUGCGGGCAUGAAAUACUGGAUUAGCGGUGAGGUAGGUGGCACCAAGAUUGUCGCACCAAAGAGUAGGAGCUCCACUGUCCAAACCAAGUUCACGAAGGAGUGAUUUUAGCCAAAUCAGUUCUGCAACAGUAUCAGCGAUUGCUUUGUAUUCUGACUCAGUUGAAGAGCGAGAAACUGUUUUCUGCUUUUUAGCCGACCAGGAAACAAGGUUAGAACCCAGAUAAAUGGCAAAUCCCC